AGAUACCCUGUUACUUAUAGUUAAAAAAUUUUGGAGAAGUAGUAAUAAUGAAAUUUAACGGACUUGGCGGCAAGAUAGCCAUUCAGAGGAACCUGCCCUGUAAACGAUGAACCACGAAAUACCCUACUUUUUCUUGUUAACAGUUUGUAUACCGCUGUUGUCAGUCAGUUUUUUUAGAAAACUUUCUAUUAUGAUAUAAUCAUAAACUUCAAGUAAAGGUGCAGCUUAUGUAAAAGAUAGAGGUGGGUUACAUUUAUAGAAUAAAACGAAUAAAGAUUUUGAAAUACUUUUGAAGUUGGAUUUGAUUGUAAAGUUCAAGAAAACU
rnacentral:rRNA from 1 species